UACGUGGGGGGCAAGCGUUGUCCGGAAUCAUUGGGCGUAAAGCGCGUGUAGGCGGCCCGGUAAGUCCGCUGUGAAAGUCCAGGGCUCAACCCUGGGAUGCCGGUGGAUACUGUCGGGCUUGAGUCCGGAAGAGGCGAGUGGAAUUCCUGGUGUAGCGGUGAAAUGCGCAGAUAUCAGGAGGAACACCAAUGGCGAAGGCAGCUCGCUGGGACGUGACUGACGCUGAGACGCGAAGGCGUGGGGAGCAAACAGG
rnacentral:rRNA from 1 species